rnacentral:rRNA from 1 species
GGAAAAGAAAAUAACAAUGAUUUCCUUAGUAACGGCGAGUGAACAGGAAAGAGCUCAAAGUUGGAACCCGUUUGGUUUAGCCAAACUGGAUUGUAAACUGUAGAAGUGUUUUCCUGGCACGCCUGAUGAAAAAGUCCAUUGGAACAUGGUGACAUAGAGGGUGAGAGCCCCGUAUUUCGUCAGAGCUGUUGUCUUUUGUGAUACACUUUCAAAGAGUCAGGUUGUUUGGGAAUGCAGCCUAAAUUGGGUGGUAAAUCUCACCUAAAGCUAAAUAUUGGCAAAAGACCGAUAGCGAACAAGUACCGUGAGGGAAAGAUGAAAAGAACUUUGAAAAGAGAGUUAAACAGUAUGUGAAAUUGUUAAAAGGGAACCGUUUGGAGCCAGACUGGCUUGAUUGUAAUCAAUCUAGAUUUCGAUCUGGAUGCACUUGCAGUCUAUGCCUGCCAACGACAAUUCAUUCUGGAGGAAAAAACUAGGAGGAAUGUGGCCCCUCGGGGUGUUAUAGCCUCUUAGAAAAUACUCUGGGUUGGAUUGAGGAACGCAGUGGAUGCUAUUUGGCGAAGUUGCUGAGUGCUUUUACUGGUACGUGCUAGAAUUUCUGCUUCGGGUGGUGCUAGUAUUUACCGGUGAAACUCGCUUGGUAAUCUUUUUAUCCGCUUAGGUUGUUGGCUUAAUGACUCUAAAUGACCC